UACGUAGGCAGCGAGCGUUGUUCGGAGUUACUGGGCGUAAAGGGUGUGUAGGCGGUUGUUUAAGUUUUGUGUGAAAUCUCCCGGCUCAACUGGGAGGGUGCGCCGAAUACUGAGCGACUAGAGUGCGGGAGAGGAAAGUGGAAUUCCUGGUGUAGCGGUGAAAUGCGUAGAUAUCAGGAGGAACACCGGUGGUGUAGACGGCUUUCUGGACCGUAACUGACGCUGAGACACGAAAGCGUGGGUAGCAAACAGG
rnacentral:rRNA from 1 species